AAUGGCAGAUUAGUGCAUUGGAUUUAAACCCCAAAAAUAAAGUUUAUACUUUUUUUAGAA
rnacentral:tRNA from 1 species